UACGUAGGUGGCGAGCGUUGUCCGGAAUUACUGGGUGUAAAGCGCGUGUAGGCGGGAGGCCAAGUCUGCGGUGAAAUCGCUCGGCUCAACUGGGCGGGGUCCGUGGAAACUGGUCACCUGGAGGACGGUAGAGGCGAGUGGAAUUCCCGGUGUAGUGGUGAAAUGCGUAGAGAUCGGGAGGAACACCAGUGGCGAAGGCGGCUCGCUGGGCCGGACCUGACGCUGAGACGCGAAAGCCCAGGGGGAGCAAACAG
rnacentral:rRNA from 1 species